UUUCCGUAGGCGAACCUGCGGAAGGAUCAUUAUUGAAUAAACCUGAUGUGACUGUUAGCUGGCUUUUCGCAGCAUGUGCUCGUCCGUCAUCUUUAAUCUCUCCACCUGUGCACAUUUUGUAGUCUUGGAUACCUCUCGAGGCAACUCGGAUUUUAGGAUCGCCGUGCUGCACAAGUCGGCUUUCCUUUCAUUUCCAAGACUAUGUUUUUAUAUACACCAAAGUAUGUUUAAAGAAUGUCAUCAAUAGGAACUUGUUUCCUAUAAAAUUAUACAACUUUCAGCAACGGAUCUCUUGGCUCUC
rnacentral:misc_RNA from 1 species